GAUUAACGCUGGCGGCGUGCAUAACACAUGCAAGUCGAACGAUGAAACUUAGUAGACUUCUUCGGAAUGACACUAAGCGGAUUAGUGGCGAACGGGUGAGUAACGCGUGAGUAACCUGCCUUACACAAGGGGAUAGCCUUUGGAAACGAAGAAUAAUACCCUAUAAAGCCAUAAAAGCACAUGCUAGAAUGGUCAAAGUGAUAGCGGUGUAAGAUGGACUUGCGUCUGAUUAGCUAGUUGGUGAGAUAAAAGCUCACCAAGGCAACGAUCAGUAGCCGGCUUGAGAGAGUGUACGGCCACAUUGGGACUGAGAUACGGCCCAG
rnacentral:rRNA from 1 species